AUACGGUAGGGGGCAAGCGUUGUCCGGAAUCACUGGGCGUAAAGAGCACGUAGGCGGUCUAUUAAGUUAGGUGUGAAAGUUUGCAGCUUAACUGUAAAAGUGCACUUAAAACUGGUAGACUUGAGUAUCGGAGAGGUAAGCGGAAUUCCUAGUGUAGCGGUGAAAUGCGUAGAGAUUAGGAAGAACACCGGUGGCGAAGGCGGCUUACUGGACGAUCACUGACGCUCAGGUGACGAAAGCGUGGGGAGC
rnacentral:rRNA from 1 species